UACGGAGGAUGCGAGCGUUAUCCGGAUUUAUUGGGUUUAAAGGGUGCGCAGGCGGAUUUUUAAGUCAGCGGUCAAAUCGUGGGGCUCAACCCCAUCCAGCCGUUGAAACUGGGGAUCUAGAGUGUGCGAGAGGUAUGCGGAAUGCGUGGUGUAGCGGUGAAAUGCAUAGAUAUCACGCAGAACCCCGAUUGCGAAGGCAGCAUACCGGUGCACAACUGACGCUCAGGCACGAAAGUGUGGGGAGCAAACAGG
rnacentral:rRNA from 1 species